AGUGGCGACGGGUGAGUAACGCGUGGGUAACCUGCCUUAUACCGGGGGACAACAGUUAGAAAUGACUGCUAAUACCGCAUAAGCGCACGGUGUCGCAUGACACAGUGUGAAAAACUCCGGUGGUAUAAGAUGGACCCGCGUCUGAUUAGCCAGUUGGUGAGGUAACGGCCCACCAAAGCAACGAUCAGUAGCCGGCCUGAGAGGGUGAACGGCCACAUUGGGACUGAGACACGGCCCAAACUCCUACGGGAGGCAGCAGUGGGGAAUAUUGGACAAUGGGGGGAAACCCUGAUCCAGCCGACGCCGCGUGAGUGAAGAAGUAUUUCGGUAUGUAAAGCUCUAUCAGCAAGGAAGAUAAUGACGGUACUUGACUAAGAAGCCCCGGCCUAACUACGUGCCAGCAGCAGC
rnacentral:rRNA from 1 species